rnacentral:rRNA from 1 species
AACGAACGCUGGCGGCAUGCCUAACACAUGCAAGUCGAACGAGACCUUCGGGUCUAGUGGCGCACGGGUGCGUAACGCGUGGGAACCUGCCCUUAGGUUCGGAAUAACUCAGAGAAAUUUGAGCUAAUACCGGAUAAUGUCUUCGGACCAAAGAUUUAUCGCCUUUGGAUGGGCCCGCGUAGGAUUAGCUUGUUGGUGGGGUAAUGGCCUACCAAGGCGACGAUCCUUAGCUGGUCUGAGAGGAUGAGCAGCCACACUGGGACUGAGACACGGCCCAGACUCCUACGGGAGGCAGCAGUGGGGAAUAUUGGACAAGGGGCGAAAGCCUGAUCCAGCAAUGCCGCGUGAGUGAUGAAGGCCUUAGGGUUGUAAAGCUCUUUUACCAGGGAUGAUAAUGACAGUACCUGGAGAAUAAGCUCCGGCUAACUCCGUG